AUUGAACGCUGGCGGCAUGCUUUACACAUGCAAGUCGAACGGUAGAGGGGGCAACCCCUUGAGAGUGGCGAACGGGUGAGUAAUGCAUCGGCACGUGCCCAGUCGUGGGGGAUAACGCAGCGAAAGCUGUGCUAAUACCGCAUACGAUCUCUGGAUGAAAGCGGGGGACCGAAAGGCCUCGCGCGAUUGGAGCGGCCGAUGUCAGAUUAGGUAGUUGGUGGGGUAAAGGCUCACCAAGCCAACGAUCUGUAGCUGGUCUGAGAGGAAGACCAGCCACACGGGGACUGAGACACGGCCCAGACUCCUGCGGGAGGCAGCAGUGGGGAAUUUUGGACAAUGGGCGCAAGCCUGAUCCAGCAAUGCCGCGUGCAGGAAGAAGGCCUUCGGGUUGUAAACUGCUUUUGUACGGAACGAAAAGGUCUGGGUUAAUACCCUGGGCACAUGACGGUACCGUAAGAAUAAGCACCGGCUAACUACGUGCCAGCAGCCGCGGUAA
rnacentral:rRNA from 1 species